UACGAAGGGGGCUAGCGUUGCUCGGAAUAACUGGGCGUAAAGCGCACGUAGGCGGAUUGCUAAGUCAGGGGUGAAAUCCUGGAGCUCAACUCCAGAACUGCCUUUGAUACUGGCGAUCUUGAGUCCGGGAGAGGUGAGUGGAACUGCGAGUGUAGAGGUGAAAUUCGUAGAUAUUCGCAAGAACACCAGUGGCGAAGGCGGCUCACUGGCCCGGUACUGACGCUGAGGUGCGAAAGCGUGGGGAGCAAACAGG
rnacentral:rRNA from 1 species